AUUCUGAGUUCAAUCGUGCUUGCAAAUUGUGGAUAACCUUGAGUGUUAUGCUCUGGGUAAUCAUUAAUGUGCAUCAUGUUUGGGCUAGUAUAUUGUAAUGAUAUACUUAAACGAGGAAUUCCUAGUAAGCGCAAGUCACCAGCUUGUGUUGAUUACGUCCC
rnacentral:rRNA from 1 species